ACCCUCUCAGGGUCGCACCUGGAGAGUUUCCAGUACUCUACCAGUCUCGACUAUGGGAGGGAGAGUCAUGCAGAGGCAUACCCAUUCCAUUUCUACCUUGGCCAGUGGCUAGUAAGGGAAAACGUUCUGCUACAAGU